UCCGAGGGGGGGGGGAGGAGCCGCCCAUCGAGGACGUGAGGGAGGAGCUGGAGCCGCCCGAGGGCUCCAAGUCCGUCCGGAGCAUCGCCAAGUUAUGGGACAGCAGAGCGUUUGCCGAGAUCCUGCAGAAGAUCAAGGAGUACAUCAGCAAACAGCCCAAAGCCGCCGAAGUUUUGGGCCCAGUGGAGGCAGGCCUGAGUACCGAGUGAUCAUCGACGCCAACAACCUGACAGUGGAGAUCG